CGAAUGCUGACAUAAGUAACGAUAAAGCGGGUGAAAAGCCCGCUCGCCGGAAGACCAAGGGUUCCUGUCCAACGUUAAUCGGGGCAGGGUGAGUCGACCCCUAAGGCGAGGCCGAAAGGCGUAGUCGAUGGGAAACAGGUUAAUAUUCCUGUACUUGGUGUUACUGCGAAGGGGGGACGGAGAAGGCUAUGUUGGCCGGGCGACGGUUGUCCCGGUUUAAGCGUGUAGGCUGGUUUUCCAGGCAAAUCCGGAAAAUCAAGGCUGAGGCGUGAUGACGAGGCACUACGGUGCUGAAGCAACAAAUGCCCUGCUUCCAGGAAAAGCCUCUAAGCAUCAGGUAACAUCAAAUCGUACCCCAAACCGACACAGGUGGUCAGGUAGAGAAUACCAAGGCGCUUGAGAGAACUCGGGUGAAGGAACUAGGCAAAAUGGUGCCGUAACUUCGGGAGAAGGCACGCUGAUAUGUAGGUGAGGUCCCUCGCGGAUGGAGCUGAAAUCAGUCGAAGAUACCAGCUGGCUGCAACUGUUUAUUAAAAACACAGCACUGUGCAAACACGAAAGUGGACGUAUACGGUGUGACGCCUGCCCGGUGCCGGAAGGUUAAUUGAUGGGGUUAGCGCAAGCGAAGCUCUUGAUCGAAGCCCCGGUAAACGGCGGCCGUAACUAUAACGGUCCUAAGGUAGCGAAAUUCCUUGUCGGGUAAGUUCCGACCUGCACGAAUGGCGUAAUGAUGGCCAGGCUGUCUCCACCCGAGACUCAGUGAAAUUGAACUCGCUGUGAAGAUGCAGUGUACCCGCGGCAAGACGGAAAGACCCCGUGAACCUUUACUAUAGCUUGACACUGAACAUUGAGCCUUGAUGUGUAGGAUAGGUGGGAGGCUUUGAAGUGUGGACGCCAGUCUGCAUGGAGCCGACCUUGAAAUACCACCCUUUAAUGUUUGAUGUUCUAACGUGGACCCGUGAUCCGGGUUGCGGACAGUGUCUGGUGGGUAGUUUGACUGGGGCGGUCUCCUCCUAAAGAGUAACGGAGGAGCACGAAGGUUGGCUAAUCCUGGUCGGACAUCAGGAGGUUAGUGCAAUGGCAUAAGCCAGCUUGACUGCGAGCGUGACGGCGCGAGCAGGUGCGAAAGCAGGUCAUAGUGAUCCGGUGGUUCUGAAUGGAAGGGCCAUCGCUCAACGGAUAAAAGGUACUCCGGGGAUAACAGGCUGAUACCGCCCAAGAGUUCAUAUCGACGGCGGUGUUUGGCACCUCGAUGUCGGCUCAUCACAUCCUGGAGCUGAAGUAGGUCCCAAGGGUAUGGCUGUUCGCCAUUUAAAGUGGUACGCGAGCUGGGUUUAGAAC
rnacentral:rRNA from 1 species